rnacentral:lncRNA from 10 species
GAAAUCUUGAGAACCACUGACUUAUGUGGUCAGAAGUGAUCGACUCCCUGGGCUGGGAAGCUCCAAUUUUCUCCUCCAGAUUUCCUGUGUCGCCCUCUCCUCCCUGUCCUCUGCCCCAUUAGGGAGGAUGCAUGGAUUCCUUCAGCAAGCUCUUUGUCCUUCGGUUUCCAGGGGGAUGUUUGAACACAGAGACAGACACGCAGAGGGACAAUGAAGAAACACAAAGAGAAGAUGGCUGUCUAUAAGUCAAAGUGAGAGUUCUGGACCGGAUUCUUCCCUCAGAGCCCUCGAAAGUAACCAAUCCCACCAGCAACUUGAUUUUGGACUUCUCAUCUCCAGAACUGUGAGACAAUUAAUUUCUGUUCUUUAAGUCACCCAGUUUGUGAUACUUUGUUACAACAGACCCAGCAAGCUAAUGUAUCAAACAUAUUAAAAAUCUUUAAGGCAUACUCUUGUGGUAUCCUAAGGUGAUGGUUCUUAAUUAUGACAUCUCAACACACUGGUGUGUGAGAGCAGUGUGGGAGGUUUAUUAUACAUCAUUGUUCUCACUAUUAAUAGUUACAGUAAGAAUAUACCUUUUAAGACUUUUUUGUCUUAUGUACAGGAAUUGGUUAAGAUUCUCUCCAUAAUAAAAUGCAUGACUCUCAUUCAUUUAAAUUUUGAUAUGUUUCCUUGAAAUUCAUAAAAUAGAAAGAUAGCUAACGUGCUUGGGACAAACCACCCUGGUUAGGCCUAGUAAAAUGUUUUUAGCACAUGUGAUUGCCAUCUGUCCUGUGGGGCUGGGAAAAAUAUUUGCAACUGCUCUCCAUAAGACCAACUAUUAAACUCUAACCGCUCUCACAAUAGACCCAUUUUGAAAGAAGCUGCCUCACCUGCAAUUCUAUUUUCUAAAUGAUUUGUAUGUUAGUCAGGACAUUAUUUCCCUCUUCCGUACUAUCAUUAUGGAAUUUGCACCAACACAGCUAUAUCUACUUGAUUUUUACUAGGAUGCAAUAGUCAAAAAAGGAGACACUUAUCCCAACCAUUACUACAUAACCAUAUUAGA